UACGGAGGGUGCAAGCGUUAUCCGGAUUCACUGGGUUUAAAGGGUGCGUAGGCGGCGGGGUAAGUCAGGUGUGAAAUCUCGGGGCUCAACCCCGAAACUGCACUUGAUACUGCCUCGCUUGAGUACUGGAGAGGAGACUGGAAUUUACGGUGUAGCAGUGAAAUGCGUAGAUAUCGUAAGGAAGACCAGUGGCGAAGGCGAGUCUCUGGACAGUUACUGACGCUGAGGCACGAAGGCCAGGGGAGCAAACGGG
rnacentral:rRNA from 1 species